UAGGGAAUCUUCCACAAUGGACGCAAGUCUGAUGGAGCAACGCCGCGUGAGUGAAGAAGGUUUUCGGACCGUAAAGCUCUGUUGUUGGUGAAGAAGGAUAGAGGUAGUAACUGGCCUUUAUUUGACGGUAAUCAACCAGAAAGUCACGGCUAACUACGUGCCAGCAGCCGCGGUAAUACGUAGGUGGCAAGCGUUGUCCGGAUUUAUUGGGCGUAAAGCGAGCGCAGGCGGAAGAAUAAGUCUGAUGUGAAAGCCCUCGGCUUAACCGAGGAAUUGCAUCGGAAACUGUUUUUCUUGAGUGCAGAAGAGGAGAGUAGAACUCCAUGUGUAGCGGUGGAAUGCGUAGAUAUAUGGAAGAAUACCAGUGGCGAAGGCGGCUCUCUGGUCUGCAACUGACGCUGAGGCUCGAAAGCAUGGGUAGCGAACAGGACUAGAUACCCUGGUAGUCCAUGCCGUAAACGAUGAGUGCUAAGUGUUGGGAGGCUUCCGCCUCUCAGUGCUGCAGCUAACGCAUUAAGCACUCCGCCUGGGGGAGUACGACCGCAAGGUUGAAAC
rnacentral:rRNA from 1 species